UAUAUAUUUUUAUUUUUUUUAGAAAAAACAAAAUCAAUUCAAAUCGAACAAAGAUAGAAAGAAAUAACAAUCAAAUCGACACGACACCAUAUCGCAAAAUAUUACUAAUAUCCAUUUAAAUUUAGAAACGAUAGAUUGACGAAUCAUAUCCCGGGCAUGAGAUCGGAUUGGCCAAUUUUUCCACACAAUCGCAAAUCGUAUCUCGAGCAGGAGAUCGGAUUGACGAUUUUCCGUGCGAUCGCGAAUCAUAUCUCGGGCAGGAGAUUGGAUUGACGACCACAGCACGUUACGAAAUUAGGAAAUAAUUCCUAAUUUAAAAGUUAUUCGGGAACUUAAUAGAUACGAUAAUAUCACUCAAUGAUUCAAACAAAAUUGCAAUAUUUCAAACAAGGAAACAAUAUACUCAAAAUCAAAUUAGAUGAAAUUUUUACCUAAUUUGAAUAUUUGCUUUCCAAGUUUGGACCGGCGGACGGUGGCUCGCAGAUCACGAACAACGCGGCUGGACCCGGUGACGGAGACGGCGUCACAGUGGCCUCGUUUACUCGGACCGAAAGUCACGGAUCGGUGAGGAGAGGCAGCAGCAUCGUCGUCUCUGUCCAGAGUAGCAAGUGUCGUCAGCUCUGUUGGAGUUACUCGCUUGGCUUGUAGGGAUGGAUAUUGGAUUCGGCCAAAGAAAACCUACACAUAUAAAAGCUUAAACUAAAACAAAUAACUGAAUUAGUGGAGGUCUCGAGCAUGUCAGGGAUGCUUGGAAAAUCUGCAAGAAAUUAGUCAAGUGUGGUUUGCAUUGAUCUCCAAGUGUUCCCAAAUGGAUUCCUUUGAGAACCUCUCAAAGUCUGAUGACGGUGGACCUUCUUCCGAAGUAAUCCAGCGAGGUCUUCUCCUGUGGGCAACAGGUAUUGCUAAAGAGACGGUAAACCACCAAUUCGUCAAGACAGCGGCUGCUCGUCAGGCCAACAGGGGUGUGUCGCGGCCGUGGACAGCGGCUUAGUCCAGUUAAGCUCAGAAUCAUUCACUCAAGUCCACCCGCCGCCGGUCCAAUGCAAAUGCAACUAUAUAAGCCUAACUACUAAUUCAAAUGCUCCUAAUCUAUAUGCAAUUUAACUAAUUUUUUGUCUAGGGACAGGGAUCGAUCCCUAAUUUUUAAUGCAAUGAACGACUGACUGAAUCACCAAAAUUUAGGUGUCAACAUCUGUUCAUUGGUUGAC